AAAACUAUAAAACCAUACCAGAGAAGAUAUAGAGAAUAUAUGAAGUACAAAAAGACACAGAUGAGAAUGGUGAAAAAUCAGUUUUCUUUAAUGAAUAAAUCAUUGUUGAUGAAGAAGAUCUUUCUCAUGCUGAUGAAGAUAUGAUUCAGAUCACAAUGAGGGUAUCCGUCAACUUAGAUAAUGAAAGUAAAUCUUAACUUAGAAUAUUAAAAUUGGGUUUUGCUAAUUUUUGAAAUAAUUCCGCUGAGAUUAUUUCUGAUGUAACGAAGGGUAAAUGCAACAACACUGUAUUGGCUUCAAUACCUAGGUGGAAUUAAAAAUUCACGUAUAUCAUCCGCCGAAUUCAAGCAAAUGUAAGUUUUCCAAAAUGAUUUCAAACCAAUUUAAGUUUUCCAAUGUUCAGAUAACUGUGCAGAGCAUUAUGCGUUCGUGAAAAUGCCUAAGGAAGAUUAAUAUUUAAGUUUUCAACUGUAGAGGUGUCUUUUACUUUUGCGUGUGAAUCGUAUGAUUUUAGGAUUGAAUCUGAUGAUUUUGGUUGUCCACUCCGGAGUUUAAACUGUAAACUUGAUUUGAACGAGAAGAAUGAUAAGGAGAAGAAAAAGUUAAAUAAACUUUGUUAUCUUCGCACAAUCAGGUAAUGAUCUAUAGUUUUCCUUUUAAUUUUCAUGUUUUUGUCUUCUCCUAUUUUAUUUUAUUUUUGUUUUUUCCUUUUUAAAAUUAUGAUUAUUGAUUUUUUAUGUGUUUUGUGAGCUUUCUGUUUACUUGUUUUGUGCGAGUGAAUAGUUAGCAGAGACUCAAUGUGGUAGAGAACACAAAUGUGUUAAAAGUGGUUAUAAAGAUGCGCUCCAAAUAAAGGGUCUGAGGCUAAAUCUAAGGUAUAUGGUUGAUUCUUUUUUAGUCACUUUUAAGUGGAAUGAUUGUAGAUUAGUUUCGUAUUUUUCCUUGAACAAUGGUAUAGCUAAACCAAAAUAUGAAAAAGAGAUAUCCUUAAUUUAUGUUGAUUAUUGAAUACUGGUUUUGAUUAGUUUCUUCACUGAGAAAAAUUACGAUCAUCAAUUAUAGUACAAUGUAGUCCAUAAGAAAAUCAGAGAAGGUAGGGUAGAUGCGUAUGUAUUGAGGUGGUUUAUUAUGAGAGUGACAAGGGAUGCAGGGAUUGGAAUUUCAAGAUGUGUGAGGUUUCUUUUAGAGGUUGGGGUCUAGGCGUCUACCUUGAACCAUCCAAUUAGACAUGAUCUUUAACAUAUAUUGAUUUGAAUGCGAAAAUUUGAUAAGAGAUGGUGUAUACAUAUGAUUGUUUAAGCGGGAAAACGAAGUAGCAUAAUUGUCUACCAACUUAAUGAUUAUAAGUAUAAUAAGCAAGUUCUGCAAACUGCUUGCAUAAUGUUUACAGGCUUGAUAUGAAAAUGUAAGCAACUCUAUAAAAGAGGAGGUUACCUGCUUUAGACAGGACUUUCCUAAACAUAGACAACUAAAAGACCCUUUUGCAUUCAGGGAUAGGAUUUAUGUUUUUUUUACCCUUGGGUGGAGAUUAAAUCUGAUUAAUGUUUUUA